rnacentral:rRNA from 1 species
GACGAACGCUGGCGGCGUGCUUAACACAUGCAAGUCGAACGGAAAGGCCCUGCUUUUGUAGGGUGCUCGAGUGGCGAACGGGUGAGUAACACGUGAGUAACCUGCCCUUGACUUUGGGAUAACUUCAGGAAACUGGGGCUAAUACCGGAUAGGAGCUCCUGCUGCAUGGUGGGGGUUGGAAAGUUUCGGCGGUUGGGGAUGGACUCGCGGCUUAUCAGCUUGUUGGUGGGGUAGUGGCUUACCAAGGCUUUGACGGGUAGCCGGCCUGGGAGGGUGACCGGCCACAUUGGGACUGAGAUACGGACCAGACUCCUACGGGAGGCAGCAGUGGGGAAUAUUGCACAAUGGGCGGAAGCCUGAUGCAGCAACGCCGCGUGCGGGAUGACGGCCUUCGGGUUGUAAACCGCCUUCGCCUGUGACGAAGCGUGAGUGACGGUAAUGGGUAAAGAAGCACCGGCUAACUACGUG